UAGUUUUGCCGUCUGUAGGCAGCUUGUGU
rnacentral:piRNA from 2 species